UACGUAGGGUGCAGGCGUUACUCGGACUUACUGGGCGUAAAGCGUGCGCAGGCGGUCUUUUAAGUCAGAUGUGAAAUCCCCGGGCUUAACCUGGGAACUGCGUUUGAAACUGAAAGGCUAGAGUGUGGCAGAGGGGGGUGGAAUUCCACGUGUAGCAGUGAAAUGCGUAGAGAUGUGGAGGAACACCGAUGGCGAAGGCAGCCCCCUGGGCUAACACUGACGCUCAUGCACGAAAGCGUGGGGAGCAAACAGG
rnacentral:rRNA from 1 species